rnacentral:rRNA from 1 species
CACUAUCGUUAACUGAAUACAUAGGUUAACGAGGCGAACCGGGGGAACUGAAACAUCUAAGUACCCCGAGGAAAAGAAAUCAACCGAGAUUCCCCCAGUAGCGGCGAGCGAACGGGGAGCAGCCCAGAGUCUGAAUCAGCUUGUGUGUUAGUGGAACGGUCUGGAAAGUCCGACGGUACAGGGUGAUAGUCCCGUACACCAAAAUGCACAGGCUGUGAACUCGAAGAGUAGGGCGGGACACGUGGUAUCCUGUCUGAAUAUGGGGGGACCAUCCUCCAAGGCUAAAUACUCCUGACUGACCGAUAGUGAACCAGUACCGUGAGGGAAAGGCGAAAAGAACCCCGGCGAGGGGAGUGAAAAAGAACCUGAAACCGUGUACGUACAAGCAGUGGGAGCACCUUCGGGUGUGACUGCGUACCUUUUGUAUAAUGGGUCAGCGACUUAUAUUCUGUAGCAAGGUUAACCGUAUAGGGGAGCCGCAGGGAAACCGAGUCUUAACUGGGCGUUAAGUUGCAGGGUAUAGACCCGAAACCCGGUGAUCUAGCCAUGGGCAGGUUGAAGGUUGGGUAACACUAACUGGAGGACCGAACCGACUAAUGUUGAAAAAUUAGCGGAUGACUUGUGGCUGGGGGUGAAAGGCCAAUCAAACCGGGAGAUAGCUGGUUCUCCCCGAAAGCUAUUUAGGUAGCGCCUCGUGAACUCAUCUUCGGGGGUAGAGCACUGUUUCGGCUAGGGGGUCAUCCCGACUUACCAACCCGAUGCAAACUACGAAUACCGAAGAAUGUUAUCACGGGAGACACACGGCGGGUGCUAACGUCCGUCGUGAAGAGGGAAACAACCCAGACCGCCAGCUAAGGUCCCAAAGUCAUGGUUAAGUGGGAAACGAUGUGGGAAGGCACAGACAGCCAGGAUGUUGGCUUAGAAGCAGCCAUCAUUUAAAGAAAGCGUAAUAGCUCACUGGUCGAGUCGGCCUGCGCGGAAGAUGUAACGGGGCUAAACCAUGCACCGAAGCUGCGGCAGCGA